rnacentral:rRNA from 1 species
GGCUCAGGAUAAACGCUAGCGACAGGCUAACACAUGCAAGUCGAGGGGUAACAGGGUAGCAAUACCGCUGACGACCGGCGCACGGGUGAGUAACGCGUAUGCAACCUGCCUAUAACUGGGGGAAUAGCUCCCUGAAAGGGGGAAUUAACACCGCAUAACACUAUUGAUUCGCAUGGAUUAGUAGUUAAAUGUAGCGAUACAGGUUAUAGAUGGGCAUGCGUGACAUUAGCUAGUUGGUGAGGUAACGGCUCACCAAGGCUACGAUGUCUAGGGGUUCUGAGAGGAAGGUCCCCCCACACUGGUACUGAGACACGGACCAGACUCCUACGGGAGGCAGCAGUGAGGAAUAUUGGUCAAUGGGCGCAAGCCUGAACCAGCCAUGUCGCGUGCAGGAAGAACCUGCCCUAUGGGUUGUAAACUGUCUUUUAUAGUAGAAGAAACACAUCUACGUGUAGAUGUCUGCCAGUAUACUAUGAAUAAGCAUCGGCUAACUCCGUGCCAGCCGCCGC